CCGGCGACCGGCGGACGGGUGCGUAACGCGUAUGUAACCUACCUUUGACAGGGGGACAACAUCGAGAAAUUGGUACUAAUACCCCAUAACAUCACCGGAGGCAUCUUCGGUGGUUGAAAACUCAGGUGGUCAGAGAUGGACAUGCGUUGUAUUAGCUAGUUGGUGAGGUAACGGCUCACCAAGGCGACGAUACAUAGGGGGACUGAGAGGUCAACCCCCCACAUUGGUACUGAGACACGGACCAAACUCCUACGGGAGGCAGCAG
rnacentral:rRNA from 1 species